CAAGAUCGACCUUCCGGGCGCGGAACCGGAGCGCGUGUGCCGAGAGAUUGAGGACGUGCUGGGUCUGGACACCUCGCAAGCCGUGCAGGCCUCCGCCAAGGCCAACAUAGGGAUGGAGGACAUCCUGGAGCAGAUCGUGGAGCUCGUGCCGCCGCCGCCGGACACCGCGGACCAACCCCUGAGGGCGUUGAUAUUCGAUUCGUACUUUGACUCUUACCGCGGGGUGGUGUGCGUGUUUAGAGUCGUCGACGGCACCAUCAGCGUGGGCGACCAGGUCAAGCUCAUGAACACCGGGGCCCCGGCGACGGUGGAC
rnacentral:lncRNA from 1 species